CUGGAUGGGUGUCUUCAUGUGUGCUUGUGAAAAGAGGGAGGGAGAAGGUGAUCUGCUCUGUCAUGAGAUGCUCUGUAAUAAGGUCUGGUACGAGGAACAGAUGGACAUUAUUUGAGAGACAGAACUGGAACUAAAUGAGUGUAAUGACAAGCCAAGUGCUUCAGCAGAGCAAGAGUGACGUGAAACUAAUGGAGGAGGAGAAACGAAAGGACAGAGGCGGAAUAGUGAGAACGACGGAAGGGGGACAGAUGAGCAUGUGUAUUUAUCCGGUGAAGAGAGACUGAUGAAGGAAUGCUGCCAUCAAAAGCUUUGAGUGAGUAUACUACAGAAAUGAAUACAAAGUCUAUUUAUAUCUUAAGUUGUACUUUAUUUUAAUUAUCGUAAUUUUAAACAGGGUUAUUACAGCACUUUUCUGAUUCUUGAUGUCUGUAUGUUUGCUGCAGAGCUUUUGUGGUGGAGCAGGACCUGCAAGGAAAGGUGACGGCAGCAUUUGUGGGGAAAAAAAAGAAAAAAGGAACCAGCAGGGAUUGAACAGCGUGAAGGUGAGUAAAUAAUGACUGAAUUUAUUAGUUUGGGGGAACUAACCCUUUAUGCCCCUAAAUAGAAACUGUAUGAAAUGUAUGUAUGCAUUUAUAUUAUAGUAGUACCUUCAAAAAGUAACUUUAAGAAAUAAGCAGCUUUAUUGAGUGUUUGUGCCUAAGACACUAACAAAAAAGGAUUUACAAAAAUCACAUUUAUUAACAGUUAUGCAUUUCGCAGAUGCUUUUAUCCUAAGCGACUUACAGUGCUCUUAUUACAGGGACGAUCAAUGUGGAGUAACCUGGAGUAGAGUGUCUUGCUCAAGGACACACUGGUGGUGACGCUGCGGAGAUCGAGCCAGCAACCUUCUGCUUACCACCUACUGGCAGUUUUAGUUUCUUAUUUAGAGUGUCACUUCAUUAAAGUGCCCCAUUAUGCUUUUUCAAAUAUUACCUUUAAUGCUAUGUGUAAUGUAGCUGUCUGUGAAUGUAAAUGAUCUGCAAAGUUGUGAAGCCGAAAGUGCAAGAUAAAUAAAGUUGAGAAAAAAAAAAAAAAAAA